rnacentral:rRNA from 1 species
GCCUACGGGACGCAGCAGUAGGGAAUCUUCCACAAUGGACGAAAGUCUGAUGGAGCAACGCCGCGUGAGUGAAGAAGGGUUUCGGCUCGUAAAGCUCUGUUGGUAGUGAAGAAAGAUAGAGGUAGUAACUGGCCUUUAUUUGACGGGAAUUACUUAGAAAGUCACGGCUAACUACGUACCAGCAGCCGCGGUAAUACGUAGGUGGCAAGCGUUGUCCGGAUUUAUUGGGGGUAAAGCGAGUGCAGGCGGUUUAAUAAGGUUGAUGUGAAAGCAUUUGGGUCAAACGGGGAA